rnacentral:tRNA from 1 species
UGAACUGUAGCAUAGCGGUAGCACGCCAGCCUGCCGAGCCGGCGACCCGGGUUCAAUCCCCGAGUCGACCCU